AACGCACCUUGCGCUCCUUGGUAUUCCGAGGAGCAUGCCUGUUUGAGUGUCAUGAAAACCCUCAACCUUAGAUUGGUUAUUUGACCUUUCUUUGGCUUGGAUUUGGACGUUUGCCGAUGAUAAGUCGGCUCGUCUUAAAAGUAAUAGCUGGAUCUGUCUCGCGACAUGGUUUGACUUGGCGUAAUAAGUAUUUCGCUAAGGACAUCUUCGGAUGGCCCUGUUGCAGACUAAAGACCGCUUUCUAAUCCAUUGAUCUUCGGAUUAAUAUUCAUAACAUCUGGCCUCAAAUCAGGUAGGACUACCCGCUGAACUUAA
rnacentral:misc_RNA from 3 species